rnacentral:rRNA from 1 species
AAUAGAUACCCGGGUAGUCCAUGCCGUAAACGUUGGGAACUAGAUGUAGGGCCUGUCCCACGGGUUCUGUGUCGUAGCUAACGCAUUAAGUUCCCCGCCUGGGGAGUACGGCCGCAAGGCUAAAACUCAAAGGAAUUGACGGGGGCCCGCACAAGCGGCGGAGCAUGCGGAUUAAUUCGAUGCAACGCGAAGAACCUUACCAAGGCUUGACAUAUAGAAGAACACUGUAGAGAUACAGGACUCUUUGGACACUUCUAUACAGGUGGUGCAUGGUUGUCGUCAGCUCGUGUCGUGAGAUGUUCGGUUAAGUCCGGCAACGAGCGCAACCCUCGUCCUAUGUUGCCAGCACGUUAUGGUGGGAACUCAUGGGAUACUGCCGUGGUCAACACGGAGGAAGGUGGGGAUGACGUCAAAUCAUCAUGCCCCUUAUGUCUUGGGCUUCACGCAUGCUACAAUGCGGUACAGAGGGCUGCGAUACCGCGAGGUGGAGCGAAUCCCAAAAAGCCGGUCUCAGUUCGGAUUGGGU